rnacentral:rRNA from 1 species
CCUUAGUAGUGGCGAACGAAAAGGAAUGAGCCCAGCGCAGAACGUUCCGGGGCACUCGCCCUGAGAAUGAAUGUUGCGUUAAGGAUAUUGGCAUACACCCAUGGCAGUUACACUUUGCUAAGUCAGCCUCGAAUGGUUCUCGUGAAGCCGGUAACACGGUGAGACUCCAGGGAGGGUGUUAGACCCGUGUGAAGGUGCAAUCUGCUUGGGCAAGCCGAUAUCCCGAGAGUCGCGUUGUUUGAACAUGCAGCGCUAAGCAGGUCGUAGACUCGAUCUAAGGCUAAAUAUGUCCACAGAACCGAUAGUUAACAAGUACCGUGAGGGAAAGUUGAAAAGCACUCCGUAACGGAGAGUCAAAAGACCGUGAAACCACUCAGAGUAUAAGCCAAUGGUGUCUGGAAGGUCCUGUGCUUACAUCUUGGUGUCAAGGACUCAUGCGAACCUCAGCACUUGCGGGAGCAAUCUCCGUUGCUUUGGUAAGCUUGUCCGCUGAAGCACUCCGUUGACCCACCUGGCUCGUUGUGAGGUGUCCUGAGAGCAAAGCGAAGUGUUAAGAUUGGCUUGGAGUUGGGCGUGGGCGUCUCGAUGCCUUUCGCACUCUCCUUUUCGAGCACUUCUUCAGUUCUAUUCGCACAAAGUGUGGUAGUCUUGGAGUGUGCGCUGCUUGACGCUCUCUGGAACCAUCCUCUGCGACGAAGCUUCAAUGCCUUAGUGAGCGGCCGUCUUCCUCCUCGGGAGUCGGUACAUUGGCGCGGCUUGCACACUGUCGGUGCUCCGCUGUUCAACUCUGGCGCAAGGUGUUACGUCCGAUACCAUUGGUCACGUCUCGAAACACGGGCCAAGGAGUAUAGCGUGUGUGCAAGUCUAAGGGUUCCACAAAACCUGGAGGCGUAGUGAAAGCGAGUUAUGGUGUCUCACUGGACUGAUGGAGAAGGCAGUGAUGCGUGAUCCCGCAAGUCCCGGACUCGUCGUCUGCACUGCUUCGGUUGUGUUAGCGCGAGCACCGCAGAGCACAUACGCUAUGACCCGAAAGAUAGUGAACUAUGCUUGGCGAGGGUGAAGCCCCAGGAAACUGGGGUGGAGGCCCGUAGCCGUUGUGACGUGCAAAUCCAUGGCAACAGUUGAGCAUAGGGGCGAAAGACCAAUCGAACUAUCUAGUAGCUGGUUCCAUCCGAAUUUUCUCUCAGGAUAGCUGUUGACAGGCUUAUGCUCAAAAGGAUAAAGAGUUUCAUCCGGUAAAGCGAAUGACUAGAGGCUCUCGGGGACGCAAUGUCCUCGACCUAUUCUCAAACUUUAAAUGGGUGAGCUCUCGCGCAUACUUAACUGAUGCGUCGAGACACUGACAAAACUUGGACUCUUGAGAACACUGUCUCCAAUGCCUCUCGGGGCGGCGGAGCUGUGUACUGGCCAUGCAUGAAUCAUACUGUCAAUCAGUGGGUCUGUUCUGGUAAGCAGGACUGAUAAUGAGGGAUGAACCUAACGCUGUGCUAAGGGGCCGAAUAGAUAGCUAUUUCUUGUAACCAUUGGAAGGGUGUUACUAGCUGAAGACAGCAGGACGGUGG